rnacentral:misc_RNA from 1 species
UAGCAGUAGGAGGAGAAGCAGUAGUGAGAAGAGAGAGAAGAAAAAAAGAAAGAAAAUGAUAGGGUCAGGGAUAAAUUUGGUGAUGACAGUGAUAGGAUUUGCCGUGAGUACUAUGUUUAUAGUUUUCGUCUGCACUCGUCUGGUUUGCGCUCGGAUUCAGCUCAACGCAUCAAGACGCUCAUUUCCUAUCACUUCCAGAUCUGAUCUUAGCAUCCUGGAACGAGGAUUACAUGGCCUUGAGGCUGUAGUUGUAGCCAACUUUCCAAUAAAGAAGUACAAUGAACAACUUUUCUUGGCUUCGGAAGAUGCAAAAUGCACGGUUUGCCUUGCAGAAUACCAUCAUGAAGAUAUCUUGCGUAUUCUCCCAUACUGUGGCCACUCCUUCCAUAUGACCUGCAUAGACAUGUGGUUACAACAGCAUUCUACCUGCCCUGUUUGUAGAAUAUCAUUACGUGAACAUCCUGGGAAAAAGUUAACGAUGCAGCCCUUGUUCAGCUCAGCUAUCCGCUCUCCAUAUGGCACAGAGUCCUUUGAUGCCAAUGGCUGCAACUGCUUGUUGGCCGGGCAUGGGCUUUCAUCAAGAACUCAUGACAAUCGUUUGAUGGACUCCAUUGAAGAGAGUCACUGUGCAUCUGAAGACCCUGAAGCAGAAACUGGGCAAAAUUUAUCCCCCAUAACUGAGAGUAAUCAGAUUGCAAAAGACUCUGGAAAUAAGCAUUUAGAAAGCCCAUCGAAUAUCUAAAUCCUAUAGUAUAUGCGAAUCUACGCUUUUAUUCAUUGACACAUCCAGUUUGAGAGCUCAAAUCUCAUUAGAUUAUUGUAGGAAAUGAAUGUAUUUGAAUAGAUCAAGAAAAUUUGUUACCCCAGACAAU